AUACUUUGGUUUCUCUUCAGAUCAUAUAAAUUUUUUGCCUUUUACUAAAGAUUUCCAUGGAAAAGAAAGGGAUGAACAACGUAAAGAAAAAACC
rnacentral:snRNA from 1 species